rnacentral:lncRNA from 1 species
AUUUUUUUAAGAAUUAAUUUAUCUAAUAAUAUAAUAAUAUUAUUAGAUUAUUUAUUUGGUAGUUAAAUCUUUUUACAGUUAAAAAAAUAUCUAUUUUGAUUUCGAAUGCCUUUUGAUAAUAUAUAAAUAGGGGUGGAAACGAGCCGAGCUCGAGCGAGCUUAUGUCAGCUCAAAUUCGGCUUGAAAUUAAUUUCGAGCCUAAAUCUAGGCUCAAGCUCGGCUUGAAAUUAAUUCGAGCCGAGCUCGAGCGAGCCUAAUUUCAAGUCGAGCCGAGCUCGAGCUCUAAACGAGCCGAUUGAAAUUCUCGACAUUUAUUAAAUCAAUAGUUUAAUUUUUAUAAAACAUUACCUACAAUUUGAUACAACAUGUUCAAUAGUUCAAAAUACCAAAUAUUAUAAGAAAUGUGAGUUAGGGUGACUUCCUGACUGGAUGAGGGUCUGAGAGAGAGAGAGAAGAAAAAAAGUAGGAUUUAAAAAUUUGAAUGUUAUCAUGUUUUUAGGAUUAUAUGCAACAGUAAAAGUCUGAAAAAGAGAUGUGUUAUGUAAAUUUAGAGUUUGGCUCAAUUGCACGGUUGUACUUGUUGGGUUUAUUUUAUGGGCCAACAAUAAUGACCCAAAUUAAAUUAAAGCCUAUAUAUAAUUAAAAUACAUUAUAUAUAUUAUAUAUAUAUAUAUAUAUAGAGUGAGGGCUACUAUGCUAUCGGAAGCACGGAGCCUUCCGUGCUUCCAGCUCGUUUUUGAUGUUGCGAUUUUCAAAUCGUCGAUCGGCUCGCUUAAACUUGAUCUAGAGUAUUUGAAGUACCUAAAAAAUAAAUUUUAUGAUUUUACGAUAUUAUUUGCCUAGUGAACGAAGGGGCUCAAAAUCAACGGCUAAAAAAUAAAAUCUUACCAAAUGUUGAUAAUAUGACAUUAAAAUUUUAAAUCAAAGAUAUUGAUCUUGUUUUUAUAUAGUAUAAAGAAUUUUCUAUCAAAAUUUCACGUGAUUUGGAUAUUUCUACACCGUUAAACUUGCAAACGGCUCACUACGGCCAUUGAAAUUUGUUGAUUUUGAGCCCAUUCGAUCACUAGGCAAAUGAUAUCGAAAAAUAAUAAAAUUUAUUUUCUAGGUAUUUCAAAUACUCUAGAUCAAGUUUAACGGAGCCGAUCGACGAUUUGAAGGUCACAACAUCGAAAACGAGCUGAAGCACAGAAGGUCCGUGCUCCGAUAGCAUAGUAGCCUCACUCAUAUAUAUAUAUAUAUAUAUAUAUAUAUAUUAUAUAUAUAUAUAUAUUAUAAUUAUAUAUAAAACAUUAACCUACAAUUUGAUACAACAUGUCCAAUAGUUCAAAAUACCAAAUAAUUAUAAGAAAUGUGAGUUAGGGUGACUUCCUGACUGGAUGAGGGUCUGAGAGAGAGAGAGAGAAGAAAAAAAGUAGGGAUUUAAAA